UCUUAACUAAUCUUAUUAUCAAUCUCCUCAACCAACCUCAUUUCUCAAUGUAAAAAGUGUAAGCUUUACCUUGGGAGUAUCGAUCACACGAUGCUAAGACUUUCAGACAAGUAUUCUGGAUCUGCAGGUAAAAAGUUAGUUCCUAUUUUCCUCUCUCUCUAAUCUCUCUCUUAAAUCAAGACAGGCUUCCAUGAAUCAGAACUUAAUGGUGGUUGCCACCAAGCUCUGUUCACUUCUUUUUGACCUAUAUCCAAGAAUCCCUUGUGAAGCGAGCCUUGAAGAUUGCCGCCUCCAAGUCCCGUUCGAAUCCUUUUAUUGGAGUCUUUGUGAAUCAAGCCUUAAUGGUUUUAGC
rnacentral:lncRNA from 1 species